GAACAAUUCGAUGACGAGGCCCAGGAAGCACGCUGAAACCCUGGGCGGCGGCAAGCUGUGCGACCUCUUCUGCGGCCGGCCUGGGCAGGUGUCUUCCUCGAGAGGCAGGCAGGGGAUCCCGGACACUAGCUUUAUCGUCAUCUGGGAAAUUGUUAAAAAUGCAAAUUCGCAAGUUUGAGAGCCAUGGUUCCAAGAAACUGCAUAAGCAUACGAAAUAAGUUGCAGCCUCCCGACUUAUACCCUGGUACUUCUAGUCUAAAACAGGAUUUGACUCUACUAAUCCAGCCUUAUACAGGAUGCUGUGUUCUUUGCUCCUUUGUGAAUGUCUGUUGCUGGUAGCUGGUUAUGCUCAUGAUGAUGACUGGAUUGACCCCACAGACAUGCUUAACUAUGAUGCUGCUUCAGGAACAAUGAGAAAAUCUCAGGCAAAAUAUGGUAUUUCAGGGGAAAAGGAUGUCAGUCCUGACUUGUCAUGUGCUGAUGAAAUAUCAGAAUGUUAUCACAAACUUGAUUCUUUAACUUAUAAGAUUGAUGAGUGUGAAAAGAAAAAGAGGGAAGACUAUGAAAGUCAAAGCAAUCCUGUUUUUAGGAGAUACUUAAAUAAGAUUUUAAUUGAAGCUGGAAAGCUUGGACUUAGACCACCUGACUGACUCUUUAACCAGAAGCUAUUCAUUCAGGAUUAAAGGCACUACUAUACUGCUUUGCAGUGGUCUGGUGGAAGAUGAGCAGUGCAGACCGCUCUUUCUCCUCUAGUUUGUAUGGAUUUACUUACUCAGCUCUGUGCACUGCUCCACCAGUUAAUGGAGCCUGAUGAAAACAAAGGCGAUAUGCAUUAUGAUGCUGAGAUUAUCCUUAAAAGAGAAACUUUGUUAGAAAUACAGAAGUUUCUCAAUGGAGAAGACUGGAAACCAGGUGCCUUGGAUGAUGCACUAAGUGAUAUUUUAAUUAAUUUUAAGUUUCAUGAUUUUGAAACAUGGAAGUGGCGAUUCGAAGAUUCCUUUGGAGUGGAUCCAUAUAAUGUGUUAAUGGUACUUCUUUGUCUGCUCUGCAUCGUGGUUUUAGUGGCUACUGAGCUGUGGACAUAUGUACGUUGGUACACUCAGUUGAGACGUGUUUUAAUCAUCAGCUUUCUGUUCAGUUUGGGAUGGAAUUGGAUGUAUUUAUAUAAGCUAGCUUUUGCACAGCAUCAGGCUGAAGUCGCCAAGAUGGAGCCAUUAAACAAUGUGUGUGCCAAAAAGAUGGACUGGACUGGAAGUAUCUGGGAAUGGUUUAGAAGUUCAUGGACCUAUAAGGAUGACCCAUGCCAAAAAUACUAUGAGCUCUUACUAGUCAACCCUAUUUGGUUGGUCCCACCAACAAAGGCACUUGCAGUUACAUUCACCACAUUUGUAACGGAGCCAUUGAAGCAUAUUGGAAAAGGAACUGGGGAAUUUAUUAAAGCACUCAUGAAGGAAAUUCCAGCGCUGCUUCAUCUUCCAGUGCUGAUAAUUAUGGCAUUAGCCAUCCUGGAAAGUUAUGCUCUUUGACUUUUGCUGCUUUUGUCUUCAAAUAGUAGUGUUUGAAAAACUAGUACAGAAAUUUUCAAAGUUUCUGUUCUCAGGACCUCUUUGCAGUCUUAAAAAUUGAAGCCCACAAACAGCUCUUACUUAAGAGUUUCUGCUAUGGUGCUGGAAAAUCAGUUCAUGUGCUGAGACAUAUAGGCGGUCCUGAGAGCGAACCUCCCCAGGCACUUCGGCCACGGGAUAGAAGACGGCAGGAGGAAAUUGAUUAUAGACCUGAUGGUGGAGCAGGUGAUGCCGAUUUCCAUUAUAGGGGCCAAAUGGGCCCCACUGAGCAAGGCCCUUAUGCCAAAACGUAUGAGGGUAGAAGAGAGAUUUUGAGAGAGAGAGAUGUUGACUUGAGAUUUCAGACUGGCAACAAGAGCCCUGAAGUGCUCCGGGCAUUUGAUGUACCAGACGCAGAGGCACGAGAGCAUCCCACGGUGGUACCCAGUCAUAAAUCACCUGUUUUGGAUACAAAGCCCAAGGAGACAGGUGGAAUCCUGGGGGAAGGCACACCGAAAGAAAGCAGUACUGAAAGCAGCCAGUCGGCCAAGCCUGUCUCUGGCCAAGACACAUCAGGGAAUACAGAAGGUUCACCCGCAGCGGAAAAGGCCCAGCUCAAGUCUGAAGCCGCAGGCAGCCCAGACCAAGGCAGCACAUACAGCCCCGCAAGAGGUGUGGCUGGACCACGUGGACAGGAUCCGGUCAGCAGCCCCUGUGGCUAGAGGAACACCAGCACAAACGACAGCCUCAAGUCUCCUUCGAGCUUUGUAAAAUAUCCAUUUGGGGAUGAAGUCUACUUUGACAGCUAGCAAGGCGACAUGCAACUGUUGUUGAAUGAUGACAGCAAUUCAGGAAAGACUUAAAUAUGAAAGCAAAUUGAACACAUCGGGUGUUUGUUAUCAGAAAAGAGAUGAGAUGAGAUAAGACUUGUUUAUUGACUAGCCAAUAUGUCAUUAAAAUUAAGGUUUAUAUUGUGAAGCUUUUUUGAAAUUUUACUUUUUUUUGAGAGUUUUGCUCUGUCACCCAGGCUGGAGUGAGGUGGUACAAUCUCGGCUCACUGCAACCUCCACCUCCCAGGUUCAAGAGAUUCUCCUGCCUCAGUCUCCCGAGUAGCUAGGAUUACAGAUGUGCAUCACCAUGCCUGGCUAAUUUUUGUAUUUUUUAGUAGAGAUGGGGUUUCACCAUGUUGGUCAGGCUGGUCUCGAACUCCUGACCUCAAGUGACCCGCCCUUGUCGGCCUCCCAAAGUGCUGGGAUUACAGGCAUGAGCCAUUGUGCCCAGCCUAUAUAGUGUGAAGCUUUUAGGAAAAUCAGAACAGGGUAGACAGCUGUUAAAAACAAUGUUUAAAUGGAAUAAUGUUGAAUGUUUACAGGCUGUAAGAACUAUUGUAUACACAAAAUAAUACACAAAGUUUGUACUUUGUGUACAAAUACAAAUUUGUACUUUGUGUACAAAUAAUACAAAAAGUUUGUAUACACAAACUUUUUACGUUGUGGUUUGGUAUAUUGUCUUAACUGAAUUUUCUUAUAAGAACCCCAUGAAACUUACCUGAGUUUUUAAAAUGCUAUCCAGGACAUCAUACCUUAUAGUAUACAUGAAACAUAAUGUAAUCCAGGUUGUAAUUUAGAACUUUUUUUUUUUUUUUAGCUGAGCACUUAAUGUAAUUAAUUCCAGGUUAUGACUCUUAAAAAACAUUGGCCAUUAGAGAAAUAGUUCUAUUUGCCCAUCCAAAUCACCUGAAUGACUUUUUGAAAGAAUAGGGGUCCACAUCCCCAGAUCCCAUCCCAGCUGUGCACAGUCUGAAGCAAGCAGAGUGAAACAAGUUGGCAACUUGUUCCAAGCGUGGGCCUUUGCAGUCUGUGAUCCAGUGUUACUCCAGGUCCCAGUCUGUCCCAUACUUGUCUUUUGCUACAGUUAGUUAGUUACUUUGUUAUCAUCCCCUUGUAAACUGCCUUCAAUAUCUGGGAUAAGGAAGACAAAGCUUAAUGACAACUAAGGUUCUAGCUGACAUCUUUCUUUCAUAUUUAAUUUUUGUGAGUUUUCAUCUGUUUUCUGUUUGUUUAUGUGUCCUAGGUUCUUGACCUAACCACAUGGGUUUUGUUUUUUGUUUUUAUAUUAGAACUUAGAAAAGUUUGUUUUACAGCAGUAUUAUGGAACAGAAGAGACCAUUUUAAAUAAUUUUUUUAAACAGCCCAAAACACACAAAAGAUACUUGUUUUCUAGAGACAGGGUCUUGCUCUGUCACCCAGGCUGGAGUGCAGUGGCACGAUCAUAGCUCAGUGCAGCCUCCACCUCCUGGGCUCAAGUGGUCCUCCUGCCUCAGCCUCUUAAGCAGUUGGGACUACAGGUGUGUGCCAGCAUGCUUGCUGUUUUUUUUUUUUUUGAGACAGAGUCUUGCUCUGUCACUCAGGCUGGAGUCCAGUGGCUUGGUCUCAGCUCACUGCAAUCUCUGCCUCCCAGGGGUUCAAGUGAUUCUCCUGCCUCAGCCUCCCAAGUAGCUGAAACUACAGGCGCAUGCCACCAUGCCCAGCUAAUUUUUGUAUUUUUAGUAGAGACAGGGUUUCACUAUGUUGGCCAGGCUGGUCUCAAACUCCCGACCUCAAGUGAUCCGCCCGCUUCGGCCUCCCAAAGUGCUGGGAUUACAGGUGUGAGCCACUGCGCCUGGCUGCUGAUUUAUUUUUCAUAGACACGGGGGUCUAUGUUGCCCAGGUUGGUCUUGAACUCCUAGCCUCAAGCGAUCCUCCUGCCUCAGCCUCCCAAUGUGCUGGGAUUACAGGAAUGAGCCACCAUGCCCAGCCCAAGAAGUAGAGUUUCUUUUAUACUGACUUUGGCCUAAAAAAACAGAUUUUCAUGGAGGAAAAAAAAACCUAGAUUUUUAGUAAGACUAUUUUAUAUACUUUUUUACAUUGAUCAAGUACAUUAUUUUUACCAAACAACAUUGUUUCCCACUACAUCCAUGGUUAUGUAUAAAAAAACGCCAUUGUCAAUUAAGAUGUUAAAAAAUUAUUUCCAUAAGAGUAUUAAAUUCUAAUCUAUGAUUCACUUAACUUCCUACUUUAUAAACACUAGGUAAAGUAAUCUCACAAGCUGCCAAAGAACACAUCCCAAGCAGUAAUCACAGACGAUGAAGCACCUUACAGGACCCCUCCACCCUCAAACGCGCAUGUCCAGAGAAGUAUUAAUGCCUUAAUAGACUACUGAAGGUUAACUAUUUACAUCAUUCUAAAAAUAUUUUAAGCUGUAUUACAGUGCUAUAAAUUCUCCUUUUAAGGAAAAAAGUAAUAGAUUGUUUCCUUACCGUGUUUGAAAGGAAAAAAAAUAAAUCCAUAGUAACUAAUGGUCUGCCGAUUUUUUCCCUGAAUUUUUAAACUCCAACAAAGCAUUAUUUUGCAAAAAGUCCUUUAGCCCAAAGUCAGUGUCUCUGUUUUGAUCUCUUUGUAAAAGAACUCUCUGUUCAUCCAUUCUCUUUCCCUGGGACCGUAAAAUAAGGCUGAAAAAGUCUUCAUCUGGUACUGUCGGACCCUUUGUGGUAGCAGGUGGUGGAGCACAUCUUUGAUCAUCUAAUCUGGAUCCCUAGAAGUUUAUGAGAGAGAUUAAAAGACAUACUGUGGGAAAGAAAGCACCAAGCUAUGUUAAAUCUCUCAGUCACAACAAGAAAACGCAGUUGUAAACUUUUAUUUGGGGCUUCUCAGAAAUUAAUCUUUGUUUUUAUAUUGUUCUCUUUAGUUCCCAGCCUGAUUUCUGAAAGAAAUAAUCUUUAAACCUGAAA